rnacentral:lncRNA from 1 species
GGUUAUGGAGUCAGUGACUGGUCAUUCUGCAGGCUUUUCUCUGAGGGAACAAAGCUUGAUUCAGUGAAAUACUUCACUGGGGCCAGGGAAACACUCCCUGGAGGGAGGUGGGGCAUCAAGAAACUCUUUGUGGUCGGCAAGAAGAAGGGGGAAUGAGAAUCAUACACAUAUACAUAUACAUAUACAUAUACAUAUACGCAUAGGUAUACGUAUAGGUAUAGGUAUACAUAUACAUACACACCUUUAGUAGAUGAAGCAAGGCUUCAAGGAGCAAGGACCAACAACUUCACACAUACAUACAUGCAUGCAUGCAUGUAUGCAUACAUAUAUACAUACAUAUGUACACAUUUGGUAGAUAGAACAGAGUUCUAACCAACUUCACACAUAUGCACAUAUACACAUAUAUACACAUACACAUUGGGUGGAUGGAGCAGAGCUCCAAUGAACAAGCUUCAACAACUUUGUUUUUUUCAACUACAGCUUAUAUAUCAAACAGUACC